rnacentral:rRNA from 1 species
ACGCUCGACACCUACGGGAGGGAGCAGUGGGGAAUAUUGCACAAUGGGGGAAACCCUGAUGCAGCAACGCCGCGUGAAGGAAGACGGUUUUCGGAUUGUAAACUUCUGUUCUUAGUGAAGAUAGUGACGGUAGCUAAGGAGCAAGCCACGGCUAACUACGUGCCACAGCCGCGGUAAUCUGAGCGGGCUGGCAAGGC